GAGCCUGCUAACAGCUCGUUACCUCGUUAAUACUUUAUCUGACACUCAAAUCUCGAUGGAUAACUGUGGUACUGCUCAAGGUGGUACAUGCUGUCCACCCUAACUUCUGGCAAGGGUGUCUCUAUUACAUAUCCAACCAUCAUGGGUGAUGCUUCAUAAUCUCUGAUCGAAUCCUCUUCCGUUACGAUAAAUCAUGCACGUGUCUGCCCUAUCAGCUUUCGAUGGUAGUGUAUUGGACUAUCAUGGCGGUCACGGGUAACGGAGAAUUAAGGUUCGAUUCCGGAGAGGGAGCCUGAGAAACGGCUACCACAUCUACAGAAGGCAUCAGGCGCGUAGCUCACCAAUCCCGAUUCGGGGAGGUAAUGACUAUAAAUCACAACUCGUGCGGCACUCGCCGUUGCCACAUUGCAAUGGGUACAAUUUCAAACACUUAACGACUACCAAUUGGAGGGCAAGUCUGGUGCCAGCAGUCGCGGUAAUUCCAGCACCAAUAUCGUAUAUUACAGUUGUUGCAGUAAAAAAGCUCGUAGUCCACAUGCUGGCUGGUCCUGUUUCCGGGUUCGGUCGACUCAGGACCUAGUCAUCCGUCGGACAACCGUGUCGUCCUUCCCUGGUCGCCUACGGGACCUGACCCUUAGUUUGAACAACUAACAGUGUUCAAGGCAGGCUCUCCCCCGACUACUCCGCAUGGAAUACUGGAAUAGGCCUUUCUUUUAUUUUUU
rnacentral:rRNA from 1 species